rnacentral:lncRNA from 1 species
ACCAAUGUUCAAAAAUCUGAAACUCAAGAUUCCCGCUCAACAAAAACCAUAACCUUUGUAUUCACUUAUAAAUACAUCCAUAUACCUUUACAAAAGGGAGUUUUUCUGUCGCCUCUUUCCCCUCCAGCUUUGCAAUUUUCUUAUAACUUUAAGAAAGAAUUUUUAUCUCUCUUUACUCCUAUUGGACGACAACAGAGGUAUUUCAAAGUUCUCGAACUUGUUCAUUACGAGAGUAUAGAUUCGAGGCCGAUAGGAUCCCAGUUCACUGCCCCACAAACGGUAAUCUCAACUGCCUUUCUUUAUUAUAUUUUACCAUUUUGUUCAGCAUCUUGGUGCUAGUUUAGGAGUCCAUGUUAGUCUUUUGUUAUUCUGUAUGGAAGUGAUAUAUAGUUCAAGGCUUGUGUUUCAUCAUAUAUACCUUUCUAUUUGAGUCUGUUGACUUUUUUUUUAGUAAAGUCUUGUUAAUUAGAAACCUAUUGUAAAUCGUCCAGUUUCGGCUAAAAUAUUUCUUGUCGGUUCUAAAUAUACUUGUCACUCACAAGUCUUGAUUUUAUUUCGUUUUAAUGACUAGUUUGUGAGAACUUGGUUCACAAAAGUUUUAAGCGGCAUGUUGGUUGAAUUUCUCAUAAUUAAGUUCACUGUUUUGGAUCCUUUAUUUCAGUUCCUAUUUUAGUAACAAAGAUGUGAGAGAUUAUCAAUGCUAAAUGAAAUAUUUGUUACAGUAAAGCUUAAGUUGUAUUUAAUACUUAUUGUUGGAGUUAAAAAACAUUUUGUUACUAUCAAACUAUGCCAAAUUGCUAAUAUAUGUUUAACCGUUAUGUAACCUCUUUGUUUACCAU